rnacentral:rRNA from 1 species
AACGAACGCUGGCGGCAGGCCUAACACAUGCAAGUCGAACGCCCUAGCAAUAGGGAGUGGCAGACGGGUGAGUAACACGUGGGAACCUUCCCUGUAGUACGGAAUAGCCCAGGGAAACUUGGAGUAAUACCGUAUACGCCCGAGAGGGGAAAGAUUUAUCGCUACAGGAUGGGCCCGCGUCGGAUUAGCUAGUUGGUGAGGUAAUGGCUCACCAAGGCGACGAUCCGUAGCUGGUUUGAGAGAACGACCAGCCACACUGGGACUGAGACACGGCCCAGACUCCUACGGGAGGCAGCAGUGGGGAAUAUUGGACAAUGGGCGCAAGCCUGAUCCAGCCAUGCCGCGUGAGUGAUGAAGGCCUUAGGGUUGUAAAGCUCUUUUGUCGGGGACGAUAAUGACGGUACCCGAAGAAUAAGUCCCGGCUAACUUCGUGCCAGCCGCCGCAGUAACAC